CCAAAAAGCAAUUUUUAGGGCUUUUUUUUUGAAGGUAGCCAAAGCACUGUACUGGUGCCAGGGGGCUGGCAGCUUGUGGGCAGGCUGCUGAGUCAGCAGGGUCAGAGCUGGCAUUGCACACUCUUAUCUCGCGAGCUUGACCUUUUGCUGUUCAGUUAGAAGCAUUCUUCGGGAGGGUGGAAACUAGCUUCCACCCCCUUAACGCACCAGGAGACCAGCCCUUGUCCUCGUGGGGUACUUCAACUUCCCCGACAUAUGCUGGGAAUACAAUUUAGUGCAGAAGAAGCAGUCUUGGAGGUUUCUGGAAUGUAUGGAGGACAACUUCUUGAUGCAGCUGAAUGACGCCUGACAUGGAAGUACAUAUGAACCAAAGGUGUGUCACUGAAUUCCUCCAUGCAGAAAAAAUGGCAUCCAUUGACAUUCAUGGACACUUGCUGUAUACUGACAGAGACCAAACAGUGGAGCACAGUGAGGCAGUGGGAGGUGCUGUUGUAGUUCCCAUGGAAAUAAAUAGGAG
ensembl:lncRNA